UUGAACGCUGGCGGCAGGCCUAACACAUGCAAGUCGAGCGGAUGAAGGGAGCUUGCUCCUGGAUUCAGCGGCGGACGGGUGAGUAAUGCCUAGGAAUCUGCCUGGUAGUGGGGGAUAACGUCCGGAAACGGGCGCUAAUACCGCAUACGUCCUGAGGGAGAAAGUGGGGGAUCUUCGGACCUCACGCUAUCAGAUGAGCCUAGGUCGGAUUAGCUAGUUGGUGGGGUAAAGGCCUACCAAGGCGACGAUCCGUAACUGGUCUGAGAGGAUGAUCAGUCACACUGGAACUGAGACACGGUCAAGACUCCUACGGGAGGCAGCAGUGGGGAAUAUUGGACAAUGGGCGAAAGCCUGAUCCAGACAUGCCGCGUGUGUGAAGAAGGUCUUCGGAUUGUAAAGCACUUUAAGUUGGGAGGAAGGGCAGUAAGUUAAUACCUUGCUGUUUUGACGUUACCAACAGAAUAAGCACCGGCUAACUUCGUG
rnacentral:rRNA from 1 species